rnacentral:rRNA from 1 species
CAGCAGCCGCGGUAAUACGUAGGGGGCAAGCGUUAUCCGGAUUUACUGGGCGUAAAGGGAGCGUAGACGGAAUGGCAAGUCUGAAGUGAAAUGCCCGGGCUCAACCCGGGAACUGCUUUGGAAACUGUCGAUCUGGAGUGUUGGAGAGGUAAGUGGAAUUCCUGGUGUAGCGGUGAAAUGCGUAGAGAUCAGGAAGAACACCGGAGGCGAAGGCGGCUUACUGGACAAAGACUGACGUUGAGGCUCGAAAGCGUGGGAAGCAAACAGGAUUAGAGACCCGCGUAGUCCCUGUCUCUUAUAC